GCUGCAGCUGGCUCAGCUGAGCGGGCUGUACCCCCUCCCAGCCUGCGAGAGGAGGAAGCUAGAGGAGGAUUUCCACCACCAAAAUCAAGGAGUAAAUCAAGAGGGCAGACAACAUUAGAAUAACUGCAUGAAGCCCAGAGUUCCAGUUACCCAUGGUCAACUG